rnacentral:rRNA from 1 species
GAGGAUAACCGUUGGAAACGACUGCUAAGACUGGAUAGGAGACAAGAAGGCAUCUUCUUGUUUUUAAAAGACCUAGCAAUAGGUAUGCUUAGGGAGGAGCUUGCGUCACAUUAGUUAGUUGGUGGGGUAAAGGCCUACCAAGACUAUGAUGUGUAGCCGGGCUGAGAGGUUGAACGGCCACAUUGGGACUGAGACACGGCCCAAACUCCUACGGGAGGCAGCAGUAGGGAAUUUUCGGCAAUGGAGGAAACUCUGACCGAGCAACGCCGCGUGAACGAUGAAGUAUUUCGGUACGUAAAGUUCUUUUAUUAGGGAAGAAUAAAUGAUGGAAAAAUCAUUCUGACGGUACCUAAUGAAUAAGCCCCGGCUAACUAUGUGCCAGCAGCCGCGGUAAUACAUAGGGGGCAAGCGUUAUCCGGAAUUAUUGGGCGUAAAGGGUGCGUAGGCGGUUAAAUAAGUUUAUGGUCUAAGUGCAAUGCUCAACAUUGUGAUGCUAUAAAAACUGUUUAGCUAGAGUAAGAUAGAGGCAAGUGGAAUUCCAUGUGUAGUGGUAAAAUGCGUAAAUAUAUGGAGGAACACCAGUAGCGAAGGCGGCUUGCUGGGUCUUUACUGACGCUGAGGCACGAAAGCGUGGGGAGCAAACAGGAUUAGAUACCCUGGUAGUCCACGCCGUAAACGAUGAGUACUAAACGUUGGGUAAAACCAGUGUUGAAGUUAACACAUUAAGUACUCCGCCUGAGUAGUACGUACGCAAGUAUGAAACUUAAAGGAAUUGACGGGACUCCGCACAAGCGGUGGAUCAUGUUGUUUAAUUCGAAGGUACCCGAAAAACCUCACCAGGUCUUGACAUGCUUCUGCAAAGCUGUAGAAACACAGUGGAGGUUAUCAGUUGCACAGGUGGUGCAUGGUUGUCGUCAGCUCGUGUCGUGAGAUGUUGGGUUAAGUCCCGCAACGAGCGCAACCCUUAUUGUUAGUUACCAGCACGUAAUGGUGGGGACUUUAGCAAGACUGCCAGUGAUAAAUUGGAGGAAGGUGGGGAUGACGUCAAAUCAUCAUGCCCCUUAUGACCUGGGCUACAAACGUGAUACAAUGGCUGUUACAAAGGGUAGCUGAAGCGCAAGUUUUUGGCGAAUCUCAAAAAAACAGUCUCAGUUCGGAUUGAAGUCUGCAACUCGACUUCAUGAAGUUGGAAUCGCUAGUAAUCGCGAAUCAGCAUGUCGCGGUGAAUACGUUCUCGGGGUUUGUACACACCGCCCGUCAAACCACGAAAGU